rnacentral:rRNA from 1 species
AUUGAACGCUGGCGGCAUGCCUUACACAUGCAAGUCGAACGGCAGCACGGGUGCUUGCACCUGGUGGCGAGUGGCGAACGGGUGAGUAAUACAUCGGAACACGUCCUGUAGUGGGGGAUAGCCCGGCGAAAGCCGGAUUAAUACCGCAUACGAUCUACGGCUGAAAGCGGGGGACCUUCGGGCCUCGCGCUAUAGGGUUGGCUGAUGGCUGUUUAGCUAGUUGGUGGGGUAAAGGCCUACCAAGGCGACGAUCAGUAGCUGGUCUGAGAGGACGACCAGCCACACUGGGACUGAGACACGGCCCAGACGCCUACGGGAGGCAGCAGUGGGGAAUUUUGGACAAUGGGCGAAAGCCUGAUCCAGCAAUGCCGCGUGUGUGAAGAAGGCCUUCGGGUUGUAAAGCACUUUUGUCCGGAAAGAAAACCUUGGCCCUAAUACGGUCGGGGGAUGACGGUACCGGAAGAAUAAGCACCGGCUAACUACGUG